rnacentral:snRNA from 1 species
AUAAUUACUUGGUAGGGGAGACACCAUGAUUGAGAAGGUGGUUUUCCCAGGCUGAGGUUCAUCCAUUGCACUGCGGGUGUGCUGACCCCUGUGAUUUCCCCAAAUGUGGGAAACUCGACUGCAUAAUUUGUGGGGGGGGGACUGCAUUUGUGCUCUCCCCUA